GUAGAUGUAAAGGGUGAGCCAAAUGAGUAUCAUUCACCUACAUUCAUGCCUAACCUGGUGAAAUAUUUCCUACCUCAGGCAGUUUUGUGGUCUGGUCUUAUGCUGGGUGAUCUUGGCCGCCAUGGAAAAGGACCAGCCUACAAUCAUUUUUCCAAGAUCUUUAUGCGAUGCAGUCAGUCAGGCACACAGAACUACACUGAGGAC